UACAGAGGGUGCAAGCGUUGUUCGGAAUUAUUGGGCGUAAAGGGUGCGUAGGCGGUGCGGUAAGUCUCUUGUGAAAUCUCCGGGCUCAACCCGGAGCCUGCAAGGGAAACUGCCGUGCUUGAGUGUGGGAGAGGUGAGUGGAAUUCCCGGUGUAGCGGUGAAAUGCGUAGAUAUCGAGAGGAACACCUGCGGCGAAGGCGGGUUGCUGGGCCGACACUGACGCUGAUGCGCGAAAGCCAGGGGAGCGAACGGG
rnacentral:rRNA from 1 species